UACUGAGAAAUAAAUUCCUCCUCAUUACACCAUGUUUCUAACAGUGUAAAAGUCCAGUAUUAAAAUGAUACCAAGCGGUAUUCAUAUAUGAUCCUUCCAAAAUUGUAUCGAUAGAUAAGUAAUACUAUGUAUGAAUAGGUCAAUAUUAAAGUUUUACCAUGUCGGUAGCAAAUUUUGUACCGACCGGUAUAAUUUUAAAACCAAGCGGUAGCAACUUUACUACCGAGAAAUCAAUUCCUCCUGAUUAUACCAUAUUUCUAACAGUGUUCCUUUAUUCCGGUCACACACUUUAUGCAAAAUCCGGCCUUUUAAAGUGUUCCUCUUUACCGGAGGAGUCAACCCGACCCCGACGACGCCACAGUUUGCAUACGAAUCACUCCAUUAUUCCAUUCAAUUUACGGCCUGACUGCUUCCUAAUGAUCACAGGAUUCCAUUCUUGUGCUAAUUGUGUUCUCCUCCCGUAAUUGAAUUGGAGAUGAGAGUCAGAGAUUAGGUCAACUCAUGUCAAAUUUUAAAAAAAUUUGAGAAUUUCGGGGUAACAUGACGAAAAUAAGGACAAAAUUUCGAAAUUAAGGUCUACUUUUCGCAGCUUUAUCCACUUUUCUCUGAUAUGCACUUAUCAUUCCAAGGAAAAAAAGUUGUACGGGCUUGACCACAGUGAUUUUACACCUGCUUCUCAAUUAGACAUGUUUUUUAUUACUAAAUAUUAUGUUUGGCUUUUAAGCUUUUCAAUUUUGUCUUUAAAUUUUCGACCCGCACUAACUUUCCAUUUGUGGGAAACAUUUUAGCAAAAUUUUUCCGGUCAAUAU